rnacentral:rRNA from 1 species
GGUGAACGCUGGCGGCGUGCCUAAUACAUGCAAGUCGAGCGAACGGACGAGAAGAUUGCUUCUCUGAUGUUAGCGGCGGACGGGUGAGUAACACGUGGAUAACCUACCUAUAAGACUGGGAUAACUUCGGGAAACCGGAGCUAAUACCGGAUAAUAUUUUGAACCGCAUGGUUCAAAAGUGAAAGACGGUCUUGCUGUCACUUAUAGAUGGAUCCGCGCUGCAUUAGCUAGUUGGUAAGGUAACGGCUUACCAAGGCAACGAUGCAUAGCCGACCUGAGAGGGUGAUCGGCCACACUGGAACUGAGACACGGUCCAGACUCCUACGGGAGGCAGCAGUAGGGAAUCUUCCGCAAUGGGCGAAAGCCUGACGGAGCAACGCCGCGUGAGUGAUGAAGGUCUUCGGAUCGUAAAACUCCGUUAUUAGGGAAGAACAUAUGUGUAAGUAACUGUGCACAUCUUGACGGUACCUAAUCAGAAAGCCACGGCUAACUACGUG